UACGGAGGGUGCAAGCGUUAUCCGGAUUCACUGGGUUUAAAGGGUGCGUAGGCGGAUUGGUAAGUCCGUGGUGAAAUCCCCGAGCUUAACUCGGGAACUGCCGUGGAUACUAUCAGUCUUGAAUAUCGUGGAGGUAAGCGGAAUAUGUCAUGUAGCGGUGAAAUGCUUAGAUAUGACAUAGAACACCAAUUGCGUAGGCAGCUUACUACACGAUCAUUGACGCUGAGGCACGAAAGCGUGGGGAGCAAACAGG
rnacentral:rRNA from 1 species